AUAGUACUCCCUCCGUCCUGAAUUACUUGUCGCGGAAAUAAAUAGUAAUUGAUGUAUCUAAUCUAAAAUACGUCUAGAUACAUCCAUUUUCGCGACAAGUAAUUUGGGAUGGAGAGAGCAUUGA
rfam:Triticum aestivum genome assembly, contig: Triticum_aestivum_CS42_TGACv1_scaffold_177322_2DS